GAGCUUUAUCGUAAGAUAGAGUUUGAGAGUGGCGAACGGGUGAGUAACACGUAGGAAUCUACCCUUGAGAGGGGGACAACCCAGGGAAACUUGGGCUAAUACCGGAUGAGAGUGCGAGAGAUUGCAUUUAAAAGGAUGGCGAAAGUUGUCGCUUAGGGAUGAGCCUGCGGUCUAUUAGUUAGUGGGUGAGGUAAGAGCUCACCAAGGCGAUGAUAGAUAGGCGGCCUUAACGGGGUGGUCGCCCACACUGGGAUUGAGAUACGGCCCAGACUCCUAGGGGAGGCAGCAGUCGAGAAUAGUCUACAAUGGCCGGAAGGCUGAUAGUGCGACGCCGCGUGAACGAGGGAGCCCUUCGGGGUGUAAAGUUCUUUUCUAUACGAGCAGUGCUAUAUAUAUGGAUAGUAUAUAUAGAGGGAUAGUAGUAUAGGAAUAAGCAACGGCUAACUCCGUGCCAGCAGCCGCGGUAACACGGGGGUUGCGAGCGUUGUCCGGAGUUACUAGGCGUAAAGGGCAGGUAGGCGGAUCUACGAGUUUUUUGUUAAAGGCUACGGCUCAACUGUAGUAGAGCAGGAGAUACUGUAGGUCUGGAAUGCGGUAGGGGAAGACAGAAUUCCUGGUGUAGCGGUGGAAUGCGCAGAGAUCAGGAGGAAUACCGAAGGCGAAGGCAGUCUUCUAAGCCGAUAUUGACGCUAAACUGCGAAGGUGUGGGGAUCAAACAGGAUUAGAUACCCUGGUAGUCCACACAGUAAACGAUAAUCACUAGGUGUUGGGUUCUUAAGAGGAUUCAGUGCCGGAGCUAACGCGAUAAGUGAUUCGCCUGGGGAGUACGAUCGCAAGGUUGAAACUCAAAGGAAUUGACGGGGGCCCGCACAAGCGGUGGAGCAUGUGGUUUAAUUCGACGCAACGCGAAGAACCUUACCCGGUCUUGACAUCUGCAGAAUUCUUCAGAGAUGGAGGAGUGCCGGUUUUACCGGAGCUGCAAGACAGGUGCUGCAUGGCUGUCGUCAGCUCGUGUCGUGAGAUGUUGGGUUAAGUCCCGCAACGAGCGCAACCCCUGCUUUCAGUUACCAUCAUUAAGUUGGGGACUCUGGAAGGACCGCUGCGGUAACAACGCAGAGGAAGAUGGGGACGACGUCAAGUCAUCAUGGUCCUUAUGACCGGGGCUACACACGUGCUACAAUGGUAGUUACAGAGGGAUGCGAAGCAGUGAUGUGGAGCGAAUCUCAGAAAAGCUACCACAGUUCGGAUUGAGGUCUGCAACUCGACCUCAUGAAGCAGGAAUCGCUAGUAAUCGCGCAACAUCAUGGCGCGGUGAAUACGUUCCCGGGCC
rnacentral:rRNA from 1 species